rnacentral:tRNA from 2 species
GCCAGGUUGCCCGAGCGGCCAAUGGGAUCUGACUGUAAAUCAGACGCGAAAGCUUCGGGGGUUCGAAUCCCUCACCUGGCACCA